GGAGACAGGAGAGAGGUUAACAUUACACGCCCGCACUGAGGGAGGAGGGAGGAGAGAGGAUAACAUUACACGCCCGCACCGAGGGAGGAGGGAGGUUAACAUUACACGCCCGCACCGAGGGAGGAGGGAGGAGAGAGGUUAACAUUACACGCCCGCACCGAGGGAGGAGGGAGGAGAGAGGUUAACAUUACACGCCCGCACCGAGGGAGGAGGGAGGUUAACAUUAC